rnacentral:rRNA from 1 species
CCUACGGGAGGCAGCAGUGAGGAAUAUUGGUCAAUGGGCGGAAUCCUGAACCAGCCAUGCCGCGUGCAGGACGACGGCUCUACGAGUUGUAAACUGCUUUUGUACCGGGGUAAGAUGCUCUACGAGUAGGGUUUUGAAUGUACGGUACGAAUAAGGAUCGGCUCACUCCGUGCCAGCAGCCGCGGUAAGACGGAGGAUCCGAGCGUUAUCCGGAUUCAGUGGGUUUAAAGGGUGCGUAGGUGGUUUUAUAAGUUAGCGGUGAAAUACCGAUGCUCAACAUCGGGUCUGCCGCUAAUACUGGAGGACUAGAGAGCGGAUGCAGCAGGCGGAAUGUGGAGUGUAGCGGUGAAAUGCAUAGAUAUUAGACAGAACACCGAUGGCGAAGGCAGCUUGCUAGGCCGGAUCUGACACUGAUGCACGAAAGCGUGGGGAUCGAACAGGAUUAGAUACCCUUGUAGUC